AUCACUUCUUGGACUCUUGGCUAAGAUCAAGUGUAAUAUCUCUUCUUAUCAGUUUAAUAUCUGAUAUAUUCUCUAUCUGAGGACAAUAUGUUAAAUGUAUUUGGGGAGCAGGAAGAUAGAAUAGAAGCUUGCUCUAUCCACUUCAUUCAUUGACUUGGUAUUACAGUAUCUCCAGGAAUGGUGCACCCCUU